AGUGAACGCUGGCGGUAGGCCUAACACAUGCAAGUCGAACGGCAGCACAGGAGAGCUUGCUCUCUGGGUGGCGAGUGGCGGACGGGUGAGGAAUACAUCGGAAUCUACUCUGUCGUGGGGGAUAACGUAGGGAAACUUACGCUAAUACCGCAUACGACCUACGGGUGAAAGCAGGGGACCUUCGGGCCUUGCGCGAUUGAAUGAGCCGAUGUCGGAUUAGCUAGUUGGCGGGGUAAAGGCCCACCAAGGCGACGAUCCGUAGCUGGUCUGAGAGGAAGAUCCGCCACACUGGAACUGAGACACGGUCCAGACUCCUACGGGAGGCAGCAGUGGGGAAUAUUGGACAAUGGGCGCAAGCCUGAUCCAGCCAUACCGCGUGGGUGAAGAAGGCCUUCGGGUUGUAAGGCCCUUUUGUUGGGAAAGAAAUCCAGCUGGCUAAUACCCGGUUGGGAUGACGGUACCCAAAGAAUAAGCACCGGCUAACUUCGUGCCAGCCGCCGCAGUAA
rnacentral:rRNA from 1 species